rnacentral:tmRNA from 1 species
GGGGCUGAUUCUGGAUUCGACGGGAUUUACGAAAACCAAGGUGCAUGCCGAGUAGCGGUUAGUCUCGUAAAAACCGCAAAACAAUAGUUGCAAACCAUGAUAAUUACGCACUGGCAGCUUAAUAACCUGCACAGAGCUCUCUCUCCAAUACCUCUGCUCUUAUGGUAGGAAUCAAGAGAGAUCAAAUAAAAUAAAGAGAUCGCGUUGAUGCCUAGUUUGGGGCUAGAACGUUAAAAUAAAUCAAACUAGCCUUUUAGCAGUGUAGUCUGUCCACGGUUAUUUGGUAAAUUUAACGACUAGACUAAGCAUGUAGUACCCAAGGAUGUAGAAAUUUCGGACGCGGGUUCAAAUCCCGCCAGCUCCACCA